CCUACGGGAGGCAGCAGUGAGGAAUAUUGCACAAUGGGCGCAAGCCUGAUGCAGCGACGCCGCGUGAGGGAUGACGGCCUUCGGGUUGUAAACCUCUUUCAGUAGGGAAGAAGCGAAAGUGACGGUACCUGCAGAAGAAGCGCCGGCUAACUACGUGCCAGCAGCCGCGGUAAU
rnacentral:rRNA from 1 species